UAAUACUAACCUAAGCAAGUCUCGUACAAAUAUUCCAUAUUCCAACUUAACAAAGUUUCUUUUAAACAAUGUUUAUCUUCCAAACUUAAAAGAAAAGGCUUAAAUGAAUUAUCGUGACUUUGCUGAGAUAGUUCAGAAAAAUUGUUGAUAAUAUUUGGACUUUCUACUGAAUUUGACAUUGAAGAGGAGGAAGGUGACUGUAGUAAAAUUAAAAAUAAUAAUAAACCUAUACAGCACUGCCAUCUAGCGAUGGAAAUGAAUAACAUACGUCGCCGGUUAUUAGUGCAAAACAACAAUGAUAGAUAGCGCUAACAUUAUCGUUAUUACGUGUAAUCAAAAAAAAUUAAUUCGGACACCACAGUGUGACAACAAAUAAGACGUCAAGGCCCAAGACGUCCUUCGAUCUUUCCAGGAAAACAAUUUGACUAAUUACUGCGGCCCUCAAAUUUGCUUCGUCCUGAAUGUAUUUAAUGAUUUUUUUAGGCCCGCUACUACCACCUGCGGAUCAUCGGGAAAAGUACCAUAAUUAUAUCCUGCGAAACCCACUGCUGCAUACAUUAAUACAUAAGACAUAACACGAAUGGAUCAUAAGUCAUAACGAUGAAUAUUUAACUUUUUAUGAAUGUGCUUGAUUAGUGUUUUCAUCAUGUUGUACUACGGACUAUUGAUUUGUCUAUAAAUCCAUUUCUAUAUUUUAUUUGUUAAAGGUAACGUUGAUCUUUUUUAUUAUUAAAUUCCCUAUUGACAUACAUACCCUUGGUUUACCCAUCUUGACAAACGAAUCGAUUGUCGUUUAAUAGCCAAUGUAGGACAACUACGACUUUCGGAUUUCGAGACAGUAUACUUAGCUGAUGAUGAUUGUCAAGAUUGAUUUAGGAUGUUUAAAGUCUAGAUCCGUAGUAUUCAGAGUGUUUGGAAAAUAACAUAGUACAUAAUGAUCAGUGGUGUUGUUAGAUCAUAGUGUCAUAAACUUUGGAAGGAGAAAGAACGGAGCUUGAGCCUCACAAUCUUAACCCAAUGUGACCAUAAUAUGUGCCAUAUUACUUACAUGUUUACAAAAUACAAUAUAAUAAUUGUAUAAACAAAUUAAUAAAACACACUCACAUAGUCACAUAGGUAGGCUUAAUUUCUAGGGUGCAACCCCGUGCACUUGCAGUCUGAAAUUUAUUAGUCCAAGUAAUAUCAUAUCGUUUUGAGGCGUCUUAAGUUUUUUCAAUAUAGAGGUGAGUAAAGUUACUAGUUUGGUACAUUUUCUACAA